rnacentral:rRNA from 1 species
GACGAACGCUGGCGGCGUGCUUAACACAUGCAAGUCGUACGGUAAGGCCCUUUCGGGGGUACACGAGUGGCGAACGGGUGAGUAACACGUGAGUAACCUGCCCACAACUUUGGGAUAACGCUAGGAAACUGGUGCUAAUACUGGAUAUGUGCUCCUGCUGCAUGGUGGGGGUUGGAAAGCUCCGGCGGUUGUGGAUGGACUCGCGGCCUAUCAGCUUGUUGGUGGGGUAGUGGCCUACCAAGGCGGCGACGGGUAGCCGGCCUGAGAGGGUGACCGGCCACAUUGGGACUGAGAUACGGCCCAGACUCCUACGGGAGGCAGCAGUGGGGAAUAUUGCACAAUGGGCGCAAGCCUGAUGCAGCAACGCCGCGUGCGGGAUGACGGCCUUCGGGUUGUAAAUCGCUUUCAGCAGGGACGAAGCUUUUUGUGACGGUACCUGCAGAAGAAGCACCGGCUAACUACGUG